rnacentral:rRNA from 1 species
CUUCCCAUUCCGAACAGAGAAGUUAAGCCCCUCAUGGCCGAUGGUACUGCACAACAAUGCGGGAGAGUAGGUAGCUGCCAUAC